rnacentral:rRNA from 1 species
ACGGGAGGCAGCAGUGGGGGAUAUUGCACAAUGGAGGAAACUCUGAUGCAGCAACGCCGCGUGAGGGAAGACGGUCUUCGGAUUGUAAACCUAAGUAGUCAGGGACGAAAGAAAUGACGGUACCUGAAGAGUAAGCUCCGGCUAACUACGUGCCAGCAGCCGCGGUAAUACGUAGGGAGCGAGCGUUGUCCGGAUUUACUGGGUGUAAAGGGUGCGUAGGCGGGUUUGCAAGUCAGGCGUGAAAUACCGAGGCUUAACUUCGGAGCUGCGCUUGAAACUGUAGAUCUUGAGUGAAGUAGAGGUAAGCGGAAUUCCUAGUGUAGCGGUGAAAUGCGUAGAUAUUAGGAGGAACACCAGUGGCGAAGGCGGCUUACUGGGCUUUAACUGACGCUGAGGCACGAAAGUAUGGGGAGCAAACAGGAUUAGAUACCCUGGUA